ensembl:lncRNA
UCCUUUUCAAAGUUUAUUUUUCUUAAUAUUCAAAUAGAAAUGGUUUCCAUAAAUGGCUUUUAUUCCAGUGUAAAGAAUUCUUUCCAAAAAUACAAAUAUGUAUGUGUCUAUUAAAACAUGACUGGAAGCUCUCUAUAGGGAAAGACAACUUGUGUUCAUUUACUUUAUUGACAGUGUACAGAUUUUCAUAGAUUGCAUUACAAUACUGACUGCUAGAUUUCUUAUAAAGGUUUAGUUCGUAUUUACUCUAGAUUUGUCUUCACAAUAAGAAUAAACUCAUGCCAGUGUUUAGUAAUCAAGAGUAGCAAUUCAUUCAAAUUUAAUGAGUUUUAUUAAACUAAGAAUCUCAUAUCACAGAGCAUUCACAGUGCAGGAGGUCACAGUUCUUGAAAAAAAAAUAGUGGGACAAAUAUAUUUAUUAUUUACAACUUUUCAGCUCAUGGCUCCUGCUUUGCCCGUUAGAGAUGAUGAACAAAGAUGGCGGCAUGACAGAAAUGUCUCACGCAGGUGACAUGUAACAGCCUCAGAAGUUUUGGGUUUUGGUUGUUUCUAAGGGGGGUUCCUUUUGGGCAUGAGAGCUCUGGUUCUAUCUACCUGCUAUUUAUUAGGUCACACCUGAGCCCCAGGAAGAUCCCAUGGCCCUGUGCGCCCCUGGGCUGGGUCAGGCCUCCCCUGACCGUUCUUUGGCAGCUCCUGCAUCUGUGCAUGGGCCUGGCCCCAUCUGGCUGGCAGCCCUGUUUCCUCUCCAGGUAAUCAAGGCUCUCUUUGUAUUCAGACACCCAGCAACUGCUCCGGGCUGGCAGCAGCUGGAUAGGAGACACCCAACAGAGGGCAGGCACCCUACCAGGGAGCGUGUGCUCUUAACUGGACACCCAGCCUCCCAGACUAGCAGCCCCCCACGGAGGCUCCCUCAGACCCGGCCACAGAGGAUUAGCCACAGUUCUCUCCCUGGGCCCCCAGAUAUCCUUGGUCCAGGCAGGUGGAGAAAGUGCCAGGAAGUGUCCCAUGGAUUCAGAAGGGUACCUCUGGAGGUGAGAGCAGGGAUGCCCUGGCGGCCAGAGGAAAAACCCACAAGAACAUCUGAUUUGGAAAAACAGAGCUGUCUGGAUCACAUCCCAGCCAUUUUCAGUGGGGAGAAAGGCCUCGCUCCUGUUGAAAGGGGACUUAAUGUUCAUCAGGAUACUCCCAGGUAUCUGGGACCUUCUGGAGUUGGGGUGUGGGGUUCUGUUGUCUGGGACCCUGCUUUAUGCACAAAGGCUGACCAGACCAAGCCACGCACCCAGAAAUCAAAAGCUGAGCAUACUUUCAAUAGUUAAAAAAAAUACAUUUUUCAGUGGUGGGAUGGGGAGGGUACACACUUUCUCCAGGAUUAAGGGCUUUAUUGGCUGCUACUGUGGGUAAGUCACAACCAACGUGUUGCAUAAAAAGCAGCUGUCUAAAUUCUGGCAAUGGAGGGAAUAGGUGUGGAUAGGCCUGCGUGUAUCACAGGGCUUUGAAUAAAGCAGCAGCCCAUCCCACACCCAUAAACCUAAUGGUGGAAACACCACAUAGAAAGGGCUUGACUUUCACAUGGGUUCAGGGAGCAUUUCUAACUCUAAGAGCCACCUCCCAUGACCCUGGGUUUGUAUCAGGGUGUCCGGGCAGCAGAUGUUUUCCCAGACUAGAAGACGGUAAGUUCUUAGCCCCUGUUAUGAAGUGUGUGGAGGACAUACCACCUUGACAACUGGAUGCCAACACCGUAAGAGGUGAUGGAAAGCCUGGAAGCUUGUGCAGGUAAAAGAUGACACCAAGCACGCCCCCCUGCAAUGCAUGAGGAUUUAGCAGAGACCAGAGGAACCUGGGAACCACUGGUCAACUGAAAAGUUAGAAUUUUUUAAAACCCCCAUAAAAUAAUCAAAGCUCUAAUACGACCGAGCUGGC